rnacentral:rRNA from 1 species
UACGUAGGUGGCAAGCGUUGUCCGGAUUUACUGGGCGUAAAGAGCGCGCAGGCGGUCGAUCAAGUCGCGUGUGAAAGCCCCCGGCUCAACUGGGGAGGGUCACGCGAUACUGAUCGACUCGAAGGCAGGAGAGGGUAGUGGAAUUCCCGGUGUAGUGGUGAAAUGCGUAGAUAUCAAGAGGAACACCUGAGGUGAAGACGGGUUGCUGGGCUGACACUGACGCUGAGGCGCGAAAGCCAGGGGAGCAAACGGG